rnacentral:rRNA from 1 species
UACGAAGGGGGCUAGCGUUGCUCGGAAUUACUGGGCGUAAAGCGCACGUAGGCGGCUUUCUAAGUCGGGGGUGAAAUCCUGGAGCUCAACUCCAGAACUGCCUUCGAUACUGGAGCUUGAGUCCGGGAGAGGUGAGUGGAACUGCGAGUGUAGAGGUGAAAUUCGUAGAUAUUCGCAAGAGCACCAGUGGCGAAGGCGGCUCACUGGCCCGGUACUGACGCUGAUGCGCGAAACUAGGGGGAG